rnacentral:rRNA from 1 species
UACGUAGGGAGCAAACGUUGUCCGGAAUCAUUGGGCGUAAAGCGCGCGUAGGUGGCCCCAUAAGUCCGCUGUGAAAGUCAAAGGCUCAACCUUUGAAAGCCGGUGGAUACUGUGGGACUAGAGUACGGAAGAGGCGAGUGGAAUUCCUGGUGUAGCGGUGGAAUGCGCAGAUAUCAGGAGGAACACCAAUAGCGAAGGCAGCUCGCUGGGACGUUACUGACACUGAGGCGCGAAAGCGUGGGGAGCGAACAGG